GGUAACUUCCUGCCUAGAAGCCAAUCAGCGGGCCUGCUGCGCGGCAUAGGCGCCGGCAGCGAGCUCCGUUUCCGGCUUAGGAUCAGGGUUUGGGAAGGGGCUGUCUGUGGGCGCCAUGUCGGGCCGCGAAGGUGGCAAAAAGAAGCCCCUGAAACAGCCCAAGAAGCAGGCCAAGGAGAUGGACGAGGAAGAUAAGGCUUUCAAGCAGAAGCAAAAAGAGGAGCAGAAGAAACUCGAGGAGCUAAAAGCCAAGGCCGCGGGGAAGGGACCCCUGGCCACAGGUGGAAUUAAGAAAUCUGGCAAAAAAUAAGCUGUUCCUCAUAUCUGAGAUGAUGGUGACCCUCUUCCAUUCCUAUUUAAACAUCUGGAUUCCCUACUAUAACAUCUUUGCCACCUACAGCUAGAAUGAAGUGUUAUCUUAGAGCCUGUUGUACAUUGUAAUAAACUUUUGUAAAAAUAAAAUGAGUAAUACAAUGGCUCAUUGUCUCUAGUGUUCAGCAAUUCCUACCUCAGCUGUGAAUUUAAAGUAAACCCAGUCUGGGAUCCUACCAGAGCCUGCUGUUUCCUCUGUUUUCUGUAUCACUUUGAAUUAAACCAGCUCAUUAAAAGGCUAUCAUUCUUGUGUCGUUGUUUA